GCCCUGAGACACUUUACAGCCCUAGACCCUAAAAGGUCAAAAGGCCGUCUUAUUCUCAAUAUACAUUCUAUUACCCAAUCUGCUCCUGACAUUAAAUAAAACUCCAAAAAUUGGAAUCUGGCCCUCAAACCCCACAACAGGACUUAAUUAACCUCACCUUCAAGGUGUACAAUAACAGAAAAAAGUUGCAAUUCCUUGCCUCCACUGUGAGACAAACCCCAGCCACAUCUCCAGCACACAAGAACUUCCAAACACCUGAACCGCAGCAGCCAGGUGUUCCUCCAGAAACUCCUCCCCCAGGAGCUUGCUACACGUGCCGGAAAUCUGACCACCAGGCCAAGGAAUGCCCGCAGCCCAGGAUUCCUCCUAAGCCGCGUCCCAUCUGUGCGGGACCCCACUGAAAAUUGAACUGUUCAACUCACCUGGCAGCCACUCCCAGAGCCCCUGGAACUCUGGCCCAAGGCUCUCUGAUUGACUCCUUCCCAGAUCUUCUCGGCUUAGAGGCUGAAGACUGACACUGCCCGAUCGCCUCGGAAGCCCCCUAGACCAUCACGGACGCCGAGCUUCGGGUAACUCUCACAGUGGAAGGUAAGCCCGUCCCCUUCUUAAUCAAUACGGAGGCUACCCACUCCACAUUACCUUCUUUCCAAAGGCCUGUUUCCCUUGCCUCCAUAACUGUUGUGGGUAUUGACGGCCAGGUUUCUAAACCUCUUAAAACUCCCCAACUCUGGUGCCAACUUAGACAAUACUCUUUUAAGCACUCCUUUUUAGUUAUCCCCACCUGCCCAGUUCCCUUAUUAGGCUGAGACACUUUAAUUAAAUUG
rnacentral:lncRNA from 1 species